GACGGAGGGGGCUAGCGUUGUUCGGAAUUACUGGGCGUAAAGGGCGCGUAGGCGGCCGAUCAAGUUAGGCGUGAAAUCCCUGGGCUUAACCCAGGAACUGCGUUUAAUACUGAUUGGCUAGAGAUUGGUAGAGGAAAGUGGAAUUCCUAGUGUAGAGGUGAAAUUCGUAGAUAUUAGGAAGAACACCAGAGGCGAAGGCGACUUUCUGGGCCAAUACUGACGCUGAGGCGCGAAAGCUGGGGGAGCGAACGGG
rnacentral:rRNA from 1 species